UACAGAGGUCCCAAGCGUUGUUCGGAUUCAUUGGGCGUAAAGGGUGCGUAGGUGGCCUGGUAAGUCGGGUGUGAAAUCCCGGGGCUCAACCCCGGAACUGCACUCGAUACUGCCGUGCUCGAGUACUGGAGAGGAGACUGGAAUUUACGGUGUAGCAGUGAAAUGCGUAGAUAUCGUAAGGAACACCAAUAGCGAAGGCAGCUCGCUGGGACGGUACUGACGCUGAGGCGCGAAAGCGUGGGGAGCAAACAGG
rnacentral:rRNA from 1 species